rnacentral:rRNA from 1 species
GACGAACGCUGGCGGCGUGCUUAACACAUGCAAGUCGAACGGUAAGGCUCCAGCUUGCUGGGGUACACGAGUGGCGAACGGGUGAGUAACACGUGGGUGACCUGCCCUGCACUUCGGGAUAAGCCUGGGAAACUGGGUCUAAUACCGGAUAGGACCGCACCGUGAGGGUGUGGUGGAAAGUUUUUUCGGUGUGGGAUGGGCCCGCGGCCUAUCAGCUUGUUGGUGGGGUAAUGGCCUACCAAGGCGGCGACGGGUAGCCGGCCUGAGAGGGUGGACGGCCACAUUGGGACUGAGACACGGCCCAGACUCCUACGGGAGGCAGCAGUGGGGAAUAUUGCACAAUGGGCGGAAGCCUGAUGCAGCGACGCCGCGUGGGGGAUGACGGCCUUCGGGUUGUAAACUCCUUUCACCAUCGACGAAGGGUUUCUGACGGUAGAUGGAGAAGAAGCACCGGCUAACUACGUGCCAGCAGCCGCGGUAAUACGUAGGGUGCGAGCGUUGUCCGGAAUUACUGGGCGUAAAGAGCUCGUAGGUGGUUUGUCGCGUCGUCUGUGAAAUUCCGGGGCUUAACUCCGGGCGUGCAGGCGAUACGGGCAUAACUUGAGUACUGUAGGGGAGACUGGAAUUCCUGGUGUAGCGGUGAAAUGCGCAGAUAUCAGGAGGAACACCGGUGGCGAAGGCGGGUCUCUGGGCAGUAACUGACGCUGAGGAGCGAAAGCAUGGGGAGCGAACAGGAUUAGAUACCCUGGUAGUCCAUGCCGUAAACGGUGGGCGCUAGGUGUGGGUUUCCUUCCACGGGAUCCGUGUCGUAGCUAACGCAUUAAGCGCCCCGCCUGGGGAGUACGGCCGCAAGGCUAAAACUCAAAGGAAUUGACGGGGGCCCGCACAAGCGGCGGAGCAUGUGGAUUAAUUCGAUGCAACGCGAAGAACCUUACCUGGGCUUGACAUAUACAGGAUCGCGCCAGAGAUGGUGUUUCCCUUGUGGCUUGUAUACAGGUGGUGCAUGGUUGUCGUCAGCUCGUGUCGUGAGAUGUUGGGUUAAGUCCCGCAACGAGCGCAACCCUUGUCUUAUGUUGCCAGCACGUUGUGGUGGGGACUCGUAAGAAACUGCCGGGGUUAACUCGGAGGAAGGUGGGGAUGACGUCAAAUCAUCAUGCCCCUUAUGUCCAGGGCUUCACACAUGCUACAAUGGUCGGUACAGUGGGUUGCCAGUCCGUGAGGGCGAGCUAAUCCCGCAAAGCCGGUCUCAGUUCGGAUCGGGGUCUGCAACUCGACCCCGUGAAGUCGGAGUCGCUAGUAAUCGCAGAUCAGCAACGCUGCGGUGAAUACGUUCCCGGGCCU